GACGAACGCUGGCGGCGUGCCUAAUACAUGCAAGUAGAACGCACAGUUUAUACCGUAGCUUGCUACACCAUAGACUGUGAGUUGCGAACGGGUGAGUAACGCGUAGGUAACCUGCCUGGUAGCGGGGGAUAACUAUUGGAAACGAUAGCUAAUACCGCAUAAUAUUAAUUAUUGCAUGAUAAUUAAUUGAAAGGUGCAAUUGCACCACUACCAGAUGGACCUGCGUUGUAUUAGCUAGUAGGUGAGGUAACGGCUCACCUAGGCGACGAUACAUAGCCGACCUGAGAGGGUGAUCGGCCACACUGGGACUGAGACACGGCCCAGACUCCUACGGGAGGCAGCAGUAGGGAAUCUUCGGCAAUGGACGAAAGUCUGACCGAGCAACGCCGCAUGAGUGAAGAAGGUUUUCGGAUCGUAAAGCUCUGUUGUAAGAGAAGAACGGGUGUGAGAGUGGAAAGUUCACACUGUGACGGUAUCUUACCAGAAAGGGACGGCUAACUACGUG
rnacentral:rRNA from 1 species